UACAGAGGUGGCAAGCGUUGUUCGGAAUUACUGGGCGUAAAGGGCGCGUAGGCGGCCUGCUAAGUCGAACGUGAAAUCCCUGGGCUCAACCCAGGAACUGCGUCCGAUACUGGCAGGCUUGAAUCCGGGAGAGGGAUGCGGAAUUCCAGGUGUAGCGGUGAAAUGCGUAGAUAUCUGGAGGAACACCGGUGGCGAAGGCGGCAUCCUGGACCGGCAUUGACGCUGAGGCGCGAAAGCUAGGGGAGCAAACGGG
rnacentral:rRNA from 1 species